rnacentral:lncRNA from 1 species
AUAAAUCAAACAAAUACUUGUUAAAAAAAAAAAGCUAAAUGCAACCACAAUUCACUUCAAAGAGUUCAAACAAAUUUCAUGCCCUCCAAGCCAAUGGAAGAAAUAACCCUCGUUGCUUAAUAAAACCUCCAUGUUGUUUAUAACAAUUUUACUUCAAAAUAGAAGUGUUCAAUAGGUAUAAUAGACAAGAAGACAUAGUCCAGACUAAGGAGAAAAUAUAUCAGCACUAAAGAUGAAAUAAAAGACCUCCCUAAAAUGGGGAGGGAAGGAACAAAAGGGGCAAACCUGGAAGUGGGGAGGGAAGGAAAGUUGUGAAAAGGGUUAAAAGCGAGGAGAUUUAUCACAUCAAGUUGAAAAGGGUUCUGGUUCUCCGUCUCCAUCUUCAGCUGGCGUUGGUAUGUAGUGCUUGCUGUUAAGCAAGGCUAUUAGUUCGGCUUCUUAAAACCUA